GGGAUCCGAUUCCUUGACUGGUCUAGCAAAAGCCAUGGGGAGCCAUGUAUUCUAGCCCACCCAGCAUUCAAGGAUUUCCAGGAUCACUGGAUUUACAGAAGCACCAUAACCUCUGCUGAAGAUCAGCUAUGGAUGGACCAUCUUGGAAAACCAGAUGUAGCUCCUUUUUUUUUUCUUCUUCUUUUGCUGCCAAAGUGGAUGGGGUGUCUCCAUUCUCUGAGGAUUAUAUGUCGUUGGAAAUUUUGUCAUUUUUACUGGAAUACCUUCUGUUACGUUUCACAGGGAGGAGAAACCGUUGUUGUAUUCGGGAGAUAUUUUCCAGGCCCCCUUACUUACACAUCUUCAAGCACAGGAUCACUCUGUGGCAGGUGAUUUGGUGACUGAUGGCAAAGUUGAUGUGGCCUCUGCUUUUCUCUCAUCUAUUCUGGACUUUCAAAAGGAUGUUGGAUUUUGGAGAUGUGAUGGAUUUUGAAUUCUGCAUCCCAAAGCUUUGCAAAAGGAAAAAAGAUGGAGCUGAGCACUACCAAAUAGAGUGGCUACUGCUGUUGUGAAAGAUGCAGUGACACUGGAAUACACUGAGCCAAGAGAAGAGGACGUGGCAGGUUAUGGUCCAAAGAAGUCUCCUGCCCUCUCUGAGUGGGAGGAUGAUGCUACACAACGAGGAUCUGCAGAUCUGCCUGGAAAAUAUGAACCAUGAGAACAUCCAGCCACCAUUAGAUAAGUAUUACAGUGACUCACAUUGUCAUAGUAUUGAUAGAGAUGGCCUUUAUAAAAAGAUAGCAGUCCAGUGGCUGACACACAAAACUGGGAGUCUUUUUUCCUGCCUUUGACACCUCGCUGUUCUUCUGACUUCCUCUGUUUUCAUGAACAGCACAAUCCCUUGCUUGCGAUUCAUUCACCUAAACAGUAAUGCAGACACAUUGCCAGACCGAAGAGGUGGGACAGUGAUAAUUAUUUAGUUUCUGCAAAGUUACUAAGAUCAUGUGUAUUAAUUACCUAGACAGACAAAACUCCUGGGGCAGAGGUGAUAUCUUUUAUUAGAUGAACAAGAUAGUGAUAAUUAAUUAUAUUGCCUAGACAUUUUUGUAUUGCUUAGAUGUUUUUUAAGCAUGCAGUUAGUGGCUUUCCUGUUUUCUGGGGUUUUUUUUCAUCUUUUUCCAGCAUCUGAUUUCUGUCUUGGGACCAGCAGCCCAGAGUGCAAGAGCAGAACCCGACUUCUGCUUCCUCCAUCCUCUCAGCCCUGCCUUUCCGCUGACACGACCUUCUGCUGCAGGUGGGGCCAUGGCUGGUGCACGAGCUGGCUCUGCCACCUGUGUCAUUUGGAAAGCAGCAGUUUCCCCGUGCAUGAAGGGAAUCUUGCAUUGGCCAUGGCAGAGUGAGUAGCACUGCAUCACACUGGGCUGUGCCCCGAAUACAGCAUCAGAUCAUAGAUCAGCCAUGGACAAAGGGUGGGUCAUGCUUCCAAGCCAUGGGAAUCCAUGCAAACUGCAUCAUAUACUGAAGCAUGAUGCAAGGCAAUGGGAAUAAUGAAGAAUGUUAAUAUAUUGCAGCAUAUUGGUUCAAUGAAGAGUGCUGCAUUUCAGCACAUUGCACGGCACUGAAACCCAUUCCACCACUGACUGCUAAAAACCCUUCACAUCUUUUUUUUUUUUCCCCUUGACACCUGUUACCCCCUAUUUUAAGCUUUGUGUGCAAAGUAAGGGAGCUGCAAUAGAAGCAGCGCUGCGCAGACCAAGACCACUGAGGCCAUUUUUGUCUACCAGUAACUUGAGCAUCUUUCAGAUAAACCUUUUUCCGUCUCUGCUGUGCAUGAAAGUUGAAUUCAGUCUCAUUUUUACAGUAGUGAGUGCUGCUGAUUGUUCCUUCGGCAUUUCUCAAAUUCUUGGUAUCUAUGAAUUAUGAUCUAGCUCCACAGUCAGGGGCUCCUAUCAUAAAAAGUAAAAAAUGGUGCACACUCCAAUCAGUAACCUUCAGUGACCCCAUCUGCCCUGGAUUUGGUAUGCUCUCCAAUGAUAGCUUGAGCCUGCUGUACAAAGUGUGAUUUCUUCCUAGUGGUGAUUUGUCUAGCUUCCCAGACAAAAGACUUCAGAAAGCUUAUGAAGGUAGAGAAGCAGGAGGAAAAGGAAGCCUGCUUGAGAGGAGUGUAAGGGCAGUCAAGCGAAAGCAAAACCUUUCCAUCUGCAGUUGUUUACUUUGAAAACCAAACCAGUUUCCCUUGAUGUCAGUGACCUCAGGGAGAGCAAGAUUUGGUGCUUAUUGGAGUACCGGAGGAGGUGCCACUGCCAUCUUUCCCUUUGGAUAGAAGGGCUUCAGCACUGAGUUCCACUGAUUUAACUAAAAUAGAGACUUCACUCUGUUUUCAUUCAGCUAAACCAAUGCAAGUUUAUGUGGAGACUUUGUCUAAUGAUCAUAGGGUCUGUCUUCUGCUCUUUUUGUGAAACUGCCAUCACGAAGGGGAUGAAGCAAAAGAUGUAUCCACUGUGACUUGUCCUUCUGGAAGGGACUGCCAACAUAGACCACCCCCUGGUCUAUUUGUCAUCUAACCCUGCAAAGAGUGGGCUUGGACCACGUGGUGUCUAAAAUUCCACUGGCCACCCAGAGGCCUUCUUUCACUAGGCUCCCUUUCUUACUACCAUUGGUAGUAGGAAUAGUAAGAAACAUUAAGACAAAAAGACUAACACAGACAAGGCCAAAAGGAAGGAGUGGACAGGAUAGGGGCAAUACCAGAUCACCAAGGCACAGAAAAUGUUCUAAUGUGCAUCUAAAGAUACACCGUCAUGUGGCCCCUGUUGAAUAGCAUUGUGGUUGCUCUGGCUAACCUUGAUAAUCAUUUUUCUACUGCAAUUAUCAGUCUAAGUGGGUAGGUGGGACAGCAGGCCUGUUAUGGCUUUUAUCUUCCCAGAACCUGGGAACAAAGCCCAUCGAGGAGGAAACUGGCUUGACCAGUUGGGGGGCUGUGUAUGUAACGGUUAGGGAGUUCAAAGGAAAAGGAUGCAACAGUCAAAUUCACAAACACAUCUGGGGUUCAACUGAUAAAGUUGCAUUUUUCAGUGAAAGACAGUCUUAAAGGGACGUUGUCAAGUGGCCAAAACCAAUGUUAGUUUUGUUUAAAAACAGGAAAGAGACUUCCAUGAAGACUAAUAGGAACCAAAAUGGUUCCUCUGUGGUUUUGCAUAUUCCAGACAAACCAUGACUGUUCCUAUCAAGGAUGACCAAUUUCUGUUUGCACAAUGCAUUGGCUAGUUUCCACUUUCUUCCUCAAACUGGUUCUUGCUAUUUAAAAGGGUUUUCAGUGGAGCUGAGAUGAGGGGCCCAGUGUUUUUAUCCAGAUGACACCUGGGAUGGUGCCCAAUCAUGUGAUGACAACAUUGUGCUGGUCUAUGAAACAUGGGAAGUGAAAGCAGGCAGGUGAUGGUCUGGGCUGAAAGAAAUGCAGAAAGCAAACCAACUGCUUUUCCAGUUAAAAAGUCAGGGAGGGCUACCAGUUGAUUUCAGUGUCAAGAUUAGAAAGUAUGGGGCUUCAUGCUCAUGCACAGUGCUUGCUCACAGUCAACUGCAUUAUGUUAACGGUUGUAUUUAUUUGCACAAGGUAAGGCAUUAAUUUGAGUGGAGACUUGCACCUGAUUCUUUAAAAGUCAGAGCCUCAGAAAGCAUGUUGCACACUAGAGGUUGCAGUAGGAAUAUACCACAGGUGCUACAGUUCUGGGGCUACAGACCAAGAGAAGUGAGAUCCCAGGGAUUUGACGGGGAUAGUACCUGCACCCCACGCCCAGUGCAGGGUCCUUGCUGAAGAGCCUAUAGAAUCCAAGGAUUUGUGUCGACACAUUUUUCCCUGGUUUAAAAAAACUGUAGUUAAGUUGAAGAAAAUCCUGUGAGGAUGAGUAUACAUUAUAUUCAAGUGGGUUCUCAGGAUGGUUUGUACACUGCCACUACUACAAUGCUAGCGAUAACUGAACUAUCUAGUUUUAAAAGAGCUCAAGUACAUCUACACCAGCUACCCGUACACCUUUGACUGCCCUGUAGAUGAGACGCAAGGUCUCUGUUGUAGAACAAAACCCUAAAACUGAGUUCCCCAAGAGCGGCGUCGAGAGACGUAACAACCAGACCACCUUUUCUUUGCUAAGGGCUGUAUCCGUGCUUCUUGGAAUUUCUUUGAGCCUCACACUAGGGAUUUUCUUGGAGAUUUCUUCUUUAGGAUGAAAUCUAGCUGAAGUCUAGCAGCGAGUGUAAUACAGUGAACAAAGAGCAAGAGAAUGUCAGUCUGACAGCAGCACUGAAAGAAACUAUUGAAAUGAACUCUCUGGCUGGGGUUCGCUACCCAUGAAUGCAGUUACCUGUAGAUCCUCAUGUGCUGCAGGAACGAAAUGCAAGGAAAAAGACUGCUAACACAAAAGCCAAACUCCCUUCCCAGCUUAGACGACGAUGCCUUCUGGAGAAGCAGUGUAGAAGUGGAGGAACUUGCAUACAGUGCCAUUGCCAGACCGUUAUAUCCUGUGGACAAGGACAUCUUUGUUUCCCAGGCCUGUCACUGAGCCCAUAGCCUACAUUUAUGGCAUUGCUGCUGCUCCCGUAGCUACGAUGGUGGGCACCCUUGAUAUAGACACAGCUCGGCCAGAAGAAGGAGCCUUUCCUAACCCUACCUGACACCACUGUGACACAAGAACCUAUAGAUAUGGACAAGACCUCAGUUGACUUGAGAGUUCGAGAAGGAAUAGCAUUAGUUGGAGGCUCAGUGUAUACCUAGCCACAACAAGUAGCACACCGGUUUUGUUGGACUUGCCACGACAUCUCAUGAAAAGCUGAACUCACAUGUGAUAUAAGCAGCAGAGAAAUGUUUUCAAAUGAACCCAGCUUCUGAUGAAUGGUUUUGAAGAACAUGUUGGUUUGGCCUUGCAAGGUCCCUGUGCUGGAAGUGUUUAUCAGCGGGGAGCUGUCAUGCUUUUCAAGUGCUAGAAAAGAUUUUGUUUGCAGCCCAGAAUCUCUGUCUGUAUAGAAUAAUGUUUGCCGUUUGGAGAAUUGUUGUUUCUAACCAAGAUAAUUUUUCCCUAGUUUUAUCGCAUGUGAGAAAACAAGUGGACCUUGAAUUGCAUUUUAAUGUCAGAUUUCAAUUAUAUGGCUAUAACAAAAGGUUA